rnacentral:rRNA from 1 species
CCUACGGGAGGCUGCAGUGAGGAAUAUUGGUCAAUGGGCGCGAGCCUGAACCAGCCAAGUCGCGUGAGGGAGGACGGCCCUACGGGUUGUAAACCUCUUUUGCCGGGGAGCAACGGGCGCCACGUGUGGCGUCACUGAGAGUACCCGGAGAAAAAGCAUCGGCUAACUCCGUGCCAGCAGCCGCGGUAAUACGGAGGAUGCGAGCGUUAUUGGGAUUUAUUGGGUGUAAAGGGUGCGUAGGCGGAUGGUUAAGUCAGUGGUAAAAUUGAGGGGCUAAGCCCCUUCCCGCCAUUGAAACUGGCGUUCUUGAGUGGAAGAGAGGUAUGCGGAAUGCGUGGUGUAGCGGUGAAAUGCAUAGAUACCACGCAGAACCCCGAUUGCGAAGGCAGCAUGCCGGCUUCCGACUGACGCUGAAGCACGAAAGCGUGGGGAUCGAACAGGAUUAGAUACCCCAGUAGUC